UUAGAUACUAGUACGCGGCAGAAAAAGCCGUGGAGAGAAGGAGAGUAUUCCCACAAGGGACGGAGCUUUGUUGAUUUUGAGGCGAAGGCUUCAGAUUUUGGCCCAGUUUUCCAUCUUCAGGGCAGCCCAUACGGACAGCAUGCGUCUGACGGCUGUCUUGCUGGUGACAGCAUUGCUGUCGCUGGCCUUGGUGACGGAGGCGUUCGACUUCUACGGAGAAUGCCCGGACCACUGUGUGCAGAGCCAGUGCCACUAUGAGUACGGCUGUUUCCAGUGCAUGCAGGGAUUCAUCGCGCACUUCGUGGAUGGCAGCUGUGCCCGUUCAAAGUACGGUACGUGCGUGGUCACCUGUCCUGAUGGCUACUUACCUGAUCCCACCAAGGAGUUCUGCCAGGCGUGUGACGAAGGGGAGUGUGACUGAGUGUGAUCCAGCUUGGCGGAGAUACCGACGAUCCAAACGGCCCUGACCUACGGAGAAACCAACACGUUUUGUUCUUCAGUGUUCAGUUUUGUUUCCAUUUCUUUCCUUCCACAACCUAAGAAAAUCGAUCACCGUAUAUACACCUUAGUUACUAAUCUCAACUGUUUGAAAUAAGUGGUAGUCAUAUAAGAUACCAACUGAUACAAAUAUGAAUUGAACAACUCUAUCAGAAUAAGAAUGACCUACAAUUGUAAUAUCAUUUAGUAUCGAGCUUUGAAUGAGAAAUAUGGCAUGUAUCAAUAAUUUCUACGAAUCAACUUGGAUUCAGGAGUGCUGAGAAGAAGGCAGGGAUUUGUUACGCUAGACCGACAAAGGCAAGACAAAACAACAGAAGAGAAGUUCGUAUGUACUUUGUACAGUGUUUAUGUUUUGUUCGAUGCAGAGGGUGGUUUGUAAAGAAGAACGGUAAAUUACAUUGAUUCUUCUGGAUCAAAGUUAAACUGUGAUUUCCAACACAAAUUAUGGUUCAACUUGUUCCGGAAUGACUUCUGCCAACGCAGAUGAACUUUCUCUGAGGUUUGACUCUAAAUUUUCUUUUAGCUUGAUGUCUUAUUUCUUUCAACUUCAGUCUUUGUGGAUAAAACUAUCGAGCAUGAUAUA